rnacentral:tmRNA from 1 species
GGGGCUGUUAGGUAUUCGACAUCACAGUUAGUGAUCAUAAGAAAUCUGCAAGCUAAAAUAGCAUAUGAUUUAUUAUUCUCAAUAAUUAAAUGCAAACAACAUCUUACCUUUUUCUCGGAAACUAGCUUUAGUCUAACUUUUCUUUAAUCAUGUUUCGUGAACUCAUAGAAUGUUUUUUAUCAUCUGUAUGAGAAAGUACUUUAUAAAAAUGCUCUUAUCUUAAAUUAAGAAAAGAAUAAAUUUCUAUUAUUUUUUAGCUUGUAGUCACAUAUUUGAGUUGUGAUGGACGUGGGUUCAACUCCCACCAGCUCCA